UCUAACUUUUGUGCCUAAGAUUAGUUUUUUAAUCCGAACGACUAACAUUAAACAUUAAACAAAGUGUAGCACAUUUAACCACAAACCAAACAGUCCCUAAAUUUUCUUCGAGUCAUUUUUUACCGGGAGCGAAUUUAAUCCACUCUAAUUCCCUUCUAAAUUGGUCUAACCUAAAAAGCGUGAUUCAUCAGUCAAGCAAUCGUCGCAUAUAGUACAAGAUGUAGUAAUAAUAUAUUACACACACGUACAUAUAUGCCGCCCAUCCAAAUCCGAUGUAUAUAGGAAGAGGAGUAUGUGCCCGACCGGGCCGCUGUCUACUAGCACGGCUGGCCGACGAUGCACUUGAGUGGUCCGGCGAAGCGCGUGAGCUGACCGACGUAGCGGCCGUGCUUGGCCGGGAUGAAGUCGAACCUGUCGUACUUGCGCUCGUUCUGGCCGCCGGACUCGUUGAAGAAGGCGCCGUUCAUCAUGACG
rnacentral:lncRNA from 1 species